rnacentral:tRNA from 1 species
UAUUAAGUGGCCGAUUUAAGCACUAGACUUUUAAUCUAGAAAAUGAUUAAUUUUAAUCCUUAAUGG